CUGCCUUGGUUUGGCCUCUCAAAAUUGUAUUAUUUAUAUUGAUAACACUUUUUGUCCUCAUUCUUUAAGUGUAUUUUUCUGUUUUAAGAGUCUGGGUUAUAACUCAAAUGAACUCAGCCACAAGGUAUCCUGUUCAGCACAGAACUGGUGAAGAAAUAUGAAAAAGGCAAGUCUUUGCAUCAGUAAAUAAAACUUCAGAUCUGGACUCCAAAAGGGUGUUGGAAAACCUCUGUGAAUGUGCCUACUGGACACAGGAAGUUGAACUUGGAGACCACAUCCAAUAAGUUACAAAGAAUCUUCAGCAUGGGUUGAUUUGUAACAAUAAUCAUGAGAAUGCUGACAGUGUAGUUAUGCUUCGUAAAUCAAAACUUUCCCUUGUGAAACCAGGGUCUGAUUUUCUGGCUCCGGAUAAUAAUUCAGGUAGAGUUUCCAGCAGUUCAGACCUUCAGUAUGUGAGAACAGUGACUUGCUGUUUUCUAAGUAUUGUGGUGAUACUGUAGCAAAAAUGAUGACCUGGCUUUUCACUGCUUUGCCCCAGGAAUGGGCUCUAGCUCUGAGUAUCCAUUUGUGAGAACACAAAAUCAUCAAAUGAAGAAAUACAGGCAAGACUGAUGGAUGACAAGGGAGACAUAGUCUGGUUUUCUUCAUUAUUCAAACCACCUGCGUAGCACGUGAGAUGACUACAUCAUUGCCAGCUGACUACAGAUGCAUGAGUGAACCCAGCUGAGCACAGUCUAAAUUGGCAGACCACAGGAAUAACAUUUUUUCAGUAAAAUAUUGUCUCAGUUACUUCCUAUUGCUGUCACAAAACACCAUGACCAAGGCAACUUAUAGGAGAGUUUACGGGGGACUCACAGUUUCACAGGAUUGGCUCUAUUGUGCUGCCCAGGUGAGGUGCAGGGCCUGCUCUCCCAAGUGUUGCAACUGGUGGCAGGAAGGGGCAGCUCUCUCAUCCUUCUGACCUCAGGGCCAGCUCUCCCACCUGUCUCAGGUGUUGAUGGGUGUGCAUGUGUGGGAACUCCUUUUCUUAAGAUGCAGAACUGAGGCUGAGAAAUGGAUGGUGACUUUCUGGAAAAAAUAGUAGGGACCAUGGACUAGACACAUGCAAUAUGAAAAGUACUGUGGAGUUGCAGUAAAAACAGGACACUUUGUGCAUAUGCCGAGUGGAAGACUGGCCAGCUUCAGAGGAUGAAUAUUUCCUAUACUUGGGGCAGCUGAAGAGCCAAUAAAGGAUGGAAUGAACAAGACAGUUAACUCUAGACCCUCAGUGCUAAGUAUUAAGAACGACAGUACACAUGGCAGCAAACGGAACUGCAGAGAUUGUUCAGUGGUUAAGAACACUGACUACUUUUGCAGAGGAUGCAGACUCCAAAACCAGCACCCACAGGACAGACCACAACCAACUGUAAUUCCAUUUCAGUUUUCAGAGGAUCUGAUACCCUCCUCUGGACUCCAUGUGCAUCAGGCAUACCUGGGAUAUACAGACAUACACGCAAGAAAAAUGCUCAUACACAUCGAAGGAACUACAUUUGAGGCCAGCAGCAGCAGAAGAGAACUUUUCUGUGUUUUGUCAGAGACAAAAAGUCACAUAAAGACUUCAGACAUGAAUGUUAUAGUAACAAAGAUCCCACACAAGUAUUUUGGAGGCUUAACAUGUUGCAAUUUCUCCAAUAUAGUGUCCACUUUAGAUGAUUUUGCUGCUUUAUUUAUAGCUAGUCCAGAGAUACAACAUAGAAGGACCCAAGGGGACUAAUCCUCACUAACAGGUCUUGAGAAGUGGACUGGCACACAGAAAAUAUUCUUAGAAUUUUACAGAUGGCAAAGGAGUUGUAAAUUACUUGUGAUGUAAAUAAAGAGGGAGAAUCUGUU